rnacentral:rRNA from 1 species
UACAGAGGGCCCAAGCGUUGUUCGGAUUCAUUGGGCGUAAAGGGUGCGUAGGCGGCGCGGUAAGUCGGGUGUGAAAUCUCGGAGCUUAACUCCGAAACUGCAUUCGAUACUGUCGUGCUUGAGGACUGGAGAGGAGACUGGAAUUUACGGUGUAGCGGUGAAAUGCGUAGAUAUCGUAAGGAAGACCAGUGGCGAAGGCGGGUCUCUGGACAGUUCCUGACGCUGAGGCACGAAGGUCAGGGGAGCAAACGGG